CCGACCUUACUUGAACAGGAUUUGUUCUAUAGGCUCGUACCACUGCAUCCUUGAUUUUUAAGGAGACAGGAAACCAAAUCUAGUGGAUGAUUCGUAGCCAUUAGACCAGAGCGUGAUUAAUAGCUUCCGUGAUCCUCGGGUCAUGGUGCCAUAGAUGAUCGUUCUUAACCUCGAUCAUGGGUGUUGAGAUGGUCUAAUGGUUGUCUGACAGACU